GGCACGAUGGCUGAGUGGUUAAAGCGCUGCCCUGCUACAAGGUUGUGAGGCAGUUCCUUCGGGAUCGCAGGAAAGUGACCCAUGACCGCUUCGUUCAGAACGUCAAACUAACCCUUCAAUAGGUUCGAAUCCUGCUCGUGUCG